rnacentral:lncRNA from 1 species
AGGAUACAAAACAAAAUGGGUUUAAAAGAAUAUCACGGCAAGGUUUUUCCCAAUGGUCGGGACAGUUUUUGCUAUUUGUUUGAGGUGGAUGUUUCGGAGUUUUAAAUAAGUUUUAUAUUGUCCGUGAAUAUGUUUGCCGGACACAGUAAAAUAAUAAAGGAAUCCUACCUUUCAAGUUAAUUAUAACAUUUUGUGCCUCAGUUUCG